rnacentral:rRNA from 1 species
AUGAACGCUGGCGGCGUGCUUAACACAUGCAAGUCGAGCGAAGCACUUUGCUUUGAUUUCUUCGGGAUGAAGAGCUUAGUGACUGAGCGGCGGACGGGUGAGUAACGCGUGGGUAACCUGCCUCAUACAGGGGGAUAACAGUUAGAAAUGACUGCUAAUACCGCAUAAGACCACAGCACCGCAUGGUGCAGGGGUAAAAACUCCGGUGGUAUGAGAUGGACCCGCGUCUGAUUAGUUAGUUGGUGGGGUAACGGCCUACCAAGGCGACGAUCAGUAGCCGACCUGAGAGGGUGACCGGCCACAUUGGGACUGAGACACGGCCCAAACUCCUACGGGAGGCAGCAGUGGGGAAUAUUGCACAAUGGGGGAAACCCUGAUGCAGCGACGCCGCGUGAGCGAAGAAGUAUUUCGGUAUGUAAAGCUCUAUCAGCAGGGAAGAAAAUGACGGUACCUGACUAAGAAGCCCCGGCUAACUACGUGCCAGCAGCCGCGGUAAUACGUAGGGGGCAAGCGUUAUCCGGAUUUACUGGGUGUAAAGGGAGCGUAGACGGAGCAGCAAGUCUGAUGUGAAAACCCGGGGCUCAACCCCGGGACUGCAUUGGAAACUGUUGAUCUGGAGUGCCGGAGAGGUAAGCGGAAUUCCUAGUGUAGCGGUGAAAUGCGUAGAUAUUAGGAGGAACACCAGUGGCGAAGGCGGCUUACUGGACGGUAACUGACGUUGAGGCUCGAAAGCGUGGGGAGCAAACAGGAUUAGAUACCCUGGUAGUCCACACCGUAAACGAUGGAUACUAGGUGUAGGAGGUAUCGACCCCUUCUGUGCCGCAGUUAACACAAUAAGUAUCCCACCUGGGGAGUACGACCGCAAGGUUGAAACUCAAAGGAAUUGACGGGGGCCCGCACAAGCAGUGGAGUAUGUGGUUUAAUUCGAAGCAACGCGAAGAACCUUACCAGGUCUUGACAUCGAGUGACGAAUCUAGAGAUAGAUUUUUCCUUCGGGACACAAAGACAGGUGGUGCAUGGUUGUCGUCAGCUCGUGUCGUGAGAUGUUGGGUUAAGUCCCGCAACGAGCGCAACCCCUAUCUUCAGUAGCCAGCGGUAAGGCCGGGCACUCUGGAGAGACUGCCAGGGAUAACCUGGAGGAAGGUGGGGAUGACGUCAAAUCAUCAUGCCCCUUAUGAGCAGGGCUACACACGUGCUACAAUGGCGUAAACAAAGGGAAGCGAACCCGCGAGGGUGGGCAAAUCCCAAAAAUAACGUCUCAGUUCGGAUUGUAGUCUGCAACUCGACUACAUGAAGCUGGAAUCGCUAGUAAUCGCGAAUCAGAAUGUCGCGGUGAAUACGUUCCCGGGUCUUGUACACACCGCCCGUCACACCAUGGGAGUCAGUAACGCCCGAAGUCAGUGACCCAACCGUAAGGAGGGAGCUGCCGAAGGUGGGACCGAUAACUGGGGUG